UACGUAGGGUGCAAGCGUUAAUCGGAAUUACUGGGCGUAAAGCGUGCGCAGGCGGUUGUGCAAGACAGAUGUGAAAUCCCCGGGCUCAACCUGGGAACUGCAUUUGUGACUGCACGGCUGGAGUGCGGCAGAGGGGGAUGGAAUUCCGCGUAUAGCAGUGAAAUGCGUAGAUAUGCGGAGGAACACCGAUGGCGAAGGCAAUCCCCUGGGCCUGCACUGACGCUCAUGCACGAAAGCGUGGGGAGCAAACAGG
rnacentral:rRNA from 1 species